GCGCCCAUAGCUCAGCUGGAUAGAGCACCGGACUUCUAAUCCGACGGUCGGGGGUUCGAAUCCCUCUGGGCGCGCCA
rnacentral:tRNA from 1 species